AAAAUCUGACAGAUAGCGUACUUGGGCUGCAAUAACGAUGGCAAGAGAAACCAUCAAUCUUAUUAGAUGCGUCGCUCGGGGUCAAUGAGAGUCUGGGCAAGCUGGCAUUUACUUUCAAGCCAAACUCCAAAGAAGAUCUCAACCAAAAAAAACGAAAAAGGGUCAAGAGCUAAACUAUUUUCUAAGCUUUUCUUAGUUCUCACCUAUUCAUCUUCUCCUCCAAGCGAAUAUUGUGUCAUCUUGAACUUGAGUGUGCCAACUUUAUUCUAGUCAUACAUCAAAUUUCGCUUACACCACUUUUUUCCACCUCCCUGGCAGUACUGUUUACCAUGUCAAGCAAGAGCAGAGUAGGAAAAGGUUAUCCCCUGGCACUUCAUGGUCAAGGUGAAGGAAAGAAUUUGUCCAGGAAGGAACCUCUCUAUGAGAGAAAGUAGGGGCAUUAUGGGAAAUUCACUCCAUCUAAUUAAUAAAAGUCCCAUCCCACCAUCUCCCCUUCAAGUGAGUACCCAAGCAGCCACUGCAACAUCACAGCACAGCAGCCAUUCAAGCCCGCCUCCCUCCUUUUCUUUCUCUACCCUCG
rnacentral:lncRNA from 1 species